rnacentral:tRNA from 6 species
GGGAUGCUAGCUCAGUAGGUAGAGCAACGCCCUUUUAAGGCGUGGGUCACUGGUUCGAAUCCAGUGCAUCUCA